rnacentral:rRNA from 1 species
CGAGGGGCAGCACGAUAAAGCUUGCUUUAUUGGUGGCGACCGGCGCACGGGUGCGUAACGCGUAUGCAACCUACCUUGUACUGGGGUAUAGCCCGAAGAAAUUCGGAUUAACCCCCCAUAGUAAUAGAUGACCGCAUGGUUGAUUAUUUAAAGGUUACGGUACAAGAUGGGCAUGCGUCCCAUUAGCUAGAUGGUGAGGUAACGGCUCACCAUGGCUACGAUGGGUAGGGGGCCUGAGAGGGUGGUCCCCCACACUGGUACUGAGACACGGACCAGACUCCUACGGGAGGCAGCAGUGAGGAAUAUUGGUCAAUGGGCGCAAGCCUGAACCAGCCAUGCCGCGUGCAGGAAGACGGUCCUAUGGAUUGUAAACUGCUUUUAUUUGGGAAUAAACCUCUUUACGUGUAGAGAGCUGAAGGUACCAAAUGAAUAAGCACCGGCUAACUCCGUGCCAGCAGCCGCGGUAAUACGGAGGGUGCAAGCGUUAUCCGGAAUCAUUGGGUUUAAAGGGUCCGCAGGCGGGAAGAUAAGUCAGUGGUGAAAUCUCACAGCUCAACUGUGAAACUGCCAUUGAUACUGUCUUUCUUGAAUUCGAUCGAAGUGGGCGGAAUGUGACAUGUAGCGGUGAAAUGCUUAGAUAUGUCACAGAACACCGAUAGCGAAGGCAGCUCACUAGGUCUGGAUUGACGCUCAGGGACGA